rnacentral:rRNA from 1 species
AGCAGCCGCGGUAAUUCCAGCUCCAAUAGCGUAUAUUAAAGUUGUUGCAGUUAAAAAGCUCGUAGUUGAAUUUCGGGAUCAAUAUGUCGGUCGUGCCUUCGGUACGUACUGGUAUCAUUGGUCUCUCCUUUCUGACGAACCAUGAUGUCAUUAAUUUGGUGUUAUGGGGAGUUAGGACUGUUACUUUGAAAAAUUAGAGUGUUUAAAGCAGGCUUUAGCUUGAAUACAUUAGCAUGGAAUAAUGAAAUAGGACGUUCGAACCUAUUUUGUUGGUUUCUAGGAUCAACGUAAUGAUUAAUAGGGAUAGUUGGGGGCAUUAGUAUUCAAUUGUCAGAGGUGAAAUUCUUGGAUUUAUUGAAGACUAACUACUGCGAAAGCAUUUGCCAAGGAUGUUUUCAUUAAUCAAGAACGAAAGUUAGGGGAUCGAAGACGAUCAGAUACCGUCGUAGUCUUAACCAUAAACUAUGCCGACUAGGGAUCGGACGAUGUUAAUUUUUAAUGUACUCAUUCGGCGCCUUAC